UCUGCGUGGAAGGGCCAUCGCUCAACGGAUAAAAGCUACCCUGGGGAUAACAGGCUUAUCUCCCCCAAGAGUCCACAUCGACGGGGAGGUUUGGCACCUCGAUGUCGGCUCAUCACAUCCUGGGGCGGUAGUAGGUCCCAAGGGUUGGGCUGUUCGCCCAUUAAAGUGGUACGCGAGCUGGGUUCAGAACGUCGGGAGACAGUUCGGUCCCUAUCCGUCGCAGGCGUAGGAAAUUUGAGAAGACCUGUCCUUAGUACGAGAGGACCGGGAUGGACGUACCUCUGGUGUACCAGUUGUCCUGCCAAGGGCAUGGCUGGGUAGCUAUGUACGGAAUGGAUAAGCGCUGAAAGCAUC
rnacentral:rRNA from 1 species